GCCUUCUUAGCUCAGUGGUAGAGCGCGUCACUAGUAUGCGGCUAAAUCGUAGCCAAUCACAUGACGAGGUCACUUGUUCGAAUCAGGCAGGAGGCA